CAGUAGCCGCGGUAAGACGGAGGGUGCUAGCGUUGUUCGGAAUCACUGGGCGUAAAGGGCGCGUAGGCGGCCUGUUAAGUCGGAUGUGAAAGCCCGGGGCUCAACCCCGGAACUGCAUCCGAGACUGGCAGGCUUGAGACCGGGAGAGGAGGGUGGAAUAUCCAGUGUAGAGGUGAAAUUCGUAGAUAUUGGAUGGAACACCGGUGGCGAAAGCGGCUCUCUGGCCCGGAUCUGACGCUGAGGCGCGAAAGCGUGGGGAGCAAACAGGAUUAGAUACCCCAGUAGUCCCUGUCUCUUAUAC
rnacentral:rRNA from 1 species